GCGGCCGUAGUCUAGUCUGGUCAGGACAUAGCAUAAUACCUGUUACCAGCCUGCCACGCUGGGGAUCCCGGGUUCAAAUCCCGGCGGCCGCAC
rnacentral:tRNA from 1 species